UGGCUGUGAAUGCACGUCCUUCACCGCUCUGUGGCUCUGUCCGCUGGUUCCGCAAUGUUGUCUGUGUAGCAGCGCCAAAAUUUUAGCCACAAAAGCCAACAGCUCCGCAAUAUGCCCAAUAUCGACAGUUCUUUCGCGGCGCAGCAACUAAACCCAAGCGCUGGACUCGUCAAGGAAGCUGUUUAGCACGCCUGUGUUGCUAGACAUUCCGAUGGCACCGACAAUGGCCCGGCCGGCGGAACUUCUCCGCAUACCGUUUCGGAUAUUGGCAGUGGUUACCGUGUUGCUUCCCUUCACUUCGUUUGUCUUCUGUGUCCUGUGGUCGCUGCUGUACAACUUUUCUUCAGUCACGUCGACGCACUGUGGGGUGGCAAACUAUCUUCCGUCUGUCAGUGCAGCGAUAGGGGGCCACACACCACAGCGCUAUAUUUGGCGCUUUGGGAUUGCGCUACAUUCUGCUCCUAGGAUUCUCAUCAGUGCUAUGUACCAUCGCUACUACCAGAACAUGCUUGACACCCAGCAUCAGUAUGUUGCCCGAAUUGCUUUCUGGUUAAACAUUGCCGAGAUCCUCACACUGCUGGGCCUCUCCAAUGUCACAUCUACUGAAAAUUAUGCUAUCCAUGAAAAGAUGUUUGUAACGUUCAUAUUGUGCUCCCUAAUGUACAUGAUACUAUGCUGUGUUAUGCCAAGCCUUGGUCGAAGACGAUCACUCUCAGGACUGGAAGCAUACUCCUUGAAGGUGAAGAAGCAGCUGACUACAAUGUCUGUCGUCCUCUCUGUUCUGUGUACCUUCUUUUUCAUUCGACAUACCACGCGCUGCGAACCAGGAAUGUACACCCUCUUUUCAGCAAGCGAAUACGUUGUGGUGAUAUGCAACAUGGGAUUCCAUAUGACUUCCUACUGGGACUUUGCAGACAAGGCGCUUUACGUUUCAAACCUUCAGUGUGAAAGCACAGAGGACAAGGUCAGCUGAGUCACUGCGACAUAGUGUGCCGAUAUCUCUCUGAAACAUGCCCUCGGUCCCGAUUAAGAGUGAGCUUGGCUCCGCUUGGAGUUCAGCGUGGUGCAAACACGUCAUCAACAUUGCCGCAUUGUGAGCGUGUUCACGUGCCUCAUGCAAGCAACGUUACAUAAUCAUCUCAUCCUAUGAAAGCCCAUAUUUUGUCUGCUCCAUCAUUCCUGGGACUCUGAACAGCUGCUAAUGGGCUGCAAAUACUAAAUGAUGCUGAAUUGACACCACACUUGUUGGGCUAACACCUGUCAUUCUGGGCUGGAUCGAAUGUUCAUCGUAUAACAGUUACAAAGGGCGGGGGGGAGGCAGGCUUAUAUUGUUUUCUGCCAUCGAGCUUGCCUAAGAAACGGCCUAAGAAACGACAACACUUGACCUCCACUCUUUCGACUUCAUCGAGACCUGUAUAUUUCUUUUGAACAAUUCGAGGUCACAGCUAAGGCUGUCUUUAAAUGUGUCAUCUAUCAGGUUAUGCCUUUUUUUACCUGAGAUACGACUUGACAGUUCUCCAUAAUCACUCUGUGAAUUGGGCUAAAAACUAAACCUGACUUGUCUAUGCAUUUGGUGCAGCCAGAGCAUGUGUAUGCCAGCAGCUAUUGUAUCUUCAUUACUCAGUAAUUACUCAUUACUCAGCAAUGAGAUGUAUAAAUGUCAGCUUAGUGAAAUCUGAUGGAAUGUGUAUGCUUUGUGUUGUCAUAGCUUGGCAAACCUACAAUACAAUCUCCGUUUUGAUCUUGGUAUGGGAGGAAUGAAUCUGCUUGACAGUUUUGCUUUGUAAAAGGCACAACUAGUGAUAAAGUAGUGAUUUCUCUUUGCUUGUAAAGUAUUACAGGACGUAGCUGUUCUGUUCAUGAUCGUCUUCAUCAUCGUUCAUCAAGUCUUCAUCGGUGCGGUUUGACGGAAGAAAAAGUGGCCUUGCUUUUGAUGCUGCCUUUUUAUGUAAUAUUUUGUUUUUUGAUGGUGAUACGCUUUGUACACUAGAAGCAUUCUUGCAUGGGGGAGAAAGUAUCUUGAUAUAUAUAACAAUUUUUUUCCAAUUGCCUAGUUCCUUCGGAGACUCUCUAGAAUCUAAAUUGUGAUCUUUAUUUACUGGUGUAGGAAUCUCAUUUGCGUUGUAACUUGUGUAGAAUCACAGGACUUGCUAGUGUACUUUCAUUACUGAAGUUCAGAUUAUCAUUGCAGUUUUAUUAGUGUUGGAGUGAAAAAUGCCGAGCUUGCUGGAAAGCCAGACUUUGCUGAAGAAGGUUACACAAAUGUUAGGCAGGCAUUUUGACCUAGCCAAACGUUAUGAAGUUUUGCUGUCUGUUUACUUGGUGAAUAAAAAACAAUGCUUGCCAUAAAUUUAUCCUUUCUUUUUAUGUAUAUUUUACAUGCCAAGUUUACAAACCAGGCUUAUUUAGCUUAUUACCCUCACAUAUAGAGUACUGUUUAGCACUCGCACUGUGUAUUCCCCAUAAAUAUCAUAUUUAGUUUCAUACUGACGUUAUGCCACGUGGCAAACUAAGCGGGGGGAAAAAAAAAUCAUCACUUGCACUACCAGUGUUAGGUUAGCAUCAGAUUCGAGUUUCAUGUUUGCUUUUUAUGCUGGACUUCACAGUUUAACGGUUCUAGAAGGUUGGGCACUUAUUUUACUCUGUGCUGCAGCAUAUUUGCUUACUCUGCCUCAUUAAGCUUCUUGUACGUGAUAGUAUUUGCACUUUAUUACUUUUGUUUUGUUCUAGUUGUGUGGUGGUUGGACUUGGCAAUUUUCUAUGCAAGCUUUACAUUAUUCUGAAUAAUUACUGUUAUUCCAGUGGUGUUUAUUGCUUGGCAUAAUUUUUCUUUAGAAGUGGCAUCUCUUGCACAUUGUGUUGGAACCCUUGUUUGCCGUGUUGGCAGAUGCUUCUUUGUUGGUAUCCUAACACGAGGCUUGGAGCUGUGACGCAAGGUGAUACAGUGUACAGUGCUCACGGAUUGAAACGCGACAAUUUAGGCCUAACAAAAGCGCAUGCUUUUGUUUCCACGGGCGGUAGUUUGUGUGACAUCGGCGCAAUCUCGACUCCUAUGCUUAGAUCAGAGUCCAAGUCACCUUUCGUGACCAGAUUCGAAGAAACAAGGCAUGGUACUGUUGAGUAAUUGCACAGAAAAAGAGUUCUACCCAAAAUUUGCCUGUCGCGUUUCAAUCCGUGAGCACUGUACAUGUGUGA